rnacentral:lncRNA from 1 species
AUGCAUGACCAAUGAUAUCUUAUACUCUCCCUCUGUUUCAUUAUAAGUAUCACUUUAGCUUUCUGCACACAGAUUAAGAAAAUAAUUAAUUUUGCAUAUUUUCUAUAUAAAAACACAAUUACCUAUACACCUAACUAUAUUUCAACCAAUAAAAAAACAAGUUGCAUAAUAAAAUUAAUAAAUUUUGCAUUAGAAAUCGAAAACGACACUUAUUUUG